rnacentral:rRNA from 1 species
UACGUAGGGACCAAGCGUUGUUCGGAUUUACUGGGCGUAAAGGGCGCGUAGGCGGCAAUUCAAGUCAUCUGUGAAAUCUCCGGGCUUAACUCGGAACGGUCAAGUGAUACUGCAGUGCUAGAGUGCGGAAGGGGCAAUCGGAAUUCUUGGUGUAGCGGUGAAAUGCGUAGAUAUCAAGAGGAACACCUGAGGUGAAGACGGGUUGCUGGGCCGACACGUGACGCUGACAGCGCGAAAGCCAGGGGAGCAAACGGG